rnacentral:lncRNA from 1 species
ACCUUUAGGGCUAGGAUAUGCUGGAGUUGAGCCGUAGAUGGCCGUAAUACUCGAAUCAGAGGACAUCUGAGUGAAUAACUUCAAGCUCGAACCUUGAAUCUUCAAGUAACAGGGGUAUGAGGGUACAUGAGGGUAUGUAUAGGCCACCCAAGGCUUGGGACGCCAUUGAUUUCGGUGAAACAAGGUGGAAACCUGCGGAGUAGGGCUAGGGUUUUGGAGGGGGGUUAGAGAGAGUUUGAGAGAUGAAGGGAUUCUAGGGGUGGC